GGAGACAUAGCUCAAUUGGUAGAGUGUUUGCCUAGCACAUACAAGGUCCUGGGUUCAAUCCCCAGCCCCACCA
rnacentral:tRNA from 1 species